rnacentral:lncRNA from 1 species
ACGCUUUAAGUGUAUAUAUGCCCAAAAUAUUUCUGUCUUACGUGUUGUGCCUAUCUCUCACCCAAAUGAAACCCCCUAUGAUGAGAUGGUACUGCUAAUAUACUAGGUGUGACCUUUUGGCAUUCUGAAAGCAAAGUCAUUGUUUAGUGGUGACUUUCAGGCUAAUUCUUGUCCUAGCGCACACUGAAUUCUGACCUCAUACAGUCAUACUCUUCCAUCAUCCCUACUCCUUAUUUACAACAAGAUGCGGUAUAUAGUACAACUACAAAUCCUAAGCCGCAAACCGAGAUAUAUCCUCUCUUGUGAAAAUGUUUACAGUACAGAACAGAUAAAAAAUAUGACCAGCCAAACUGAAUGACAUCUCUCUCUCUUCUUUUUCUUUUUUUUUUUUUUUUGCCGGGUUGGCCGAAGAGACGACCAAUCAAAUAUUGUUAAGACUGAAAGGAGAGUUUUACAGAUUGCAAAUGCAUCGACGGUAGAAGCUCAAUGACAUUAUAGCUAGCCACGAAAUGCUAUUCUUCAGCUAAGCCAAAAGGCACAAAUAACAUAUCUGAAACACACAUAUAUUCUGUCAGAAAGUAUCAUUCCCCGGAAAUAUGUGGAUCGAUCGACCAGCAAUAUUUUGUGAGGUUCAUCUGUGACGCGAGGGCGACAUGAAGCAACAAAGGUAGCUAGUGCGGCUAUUUUCUGAAGCUCAAGUUGGCGAGGAAUUCGCACCUGCUUUCCAAGCACAGGGCCACGCAAACCCGUAUUUCACAAGUUAGGGCAGGUUCCAAUCCAAUUAUAUUAGGGGUACAAGACGCAACUUUUUUUUGGCUGAUGAGAUUUGCCUUUUGAUAACAACAACAACAGCUAGCUGAUGUUUUCAGUGAAGGGGACAUGCACGGUGAAAAGAAGAAGAAUCAAAUGGAAGAUCACGAAGAGGCGAAUAUUCACGUGAUCAUCAGUAUAAGGACGAAAUAUAUGCAGUGGAUAACCUUUAUUCUUAGAAGGACGUUAAAAAGGGGAAAAGGCAAAAGGAAACAAAUGAGGCUGAGCUUCUUUUUUCCUUGCUAAAUUUGACUCUGGAAAAGGGCAGCAAAGAAAGAUGAUGCUGUGCAGAGUAUUCUAGCCUUCUAGGUUCUAAUUUCUAUUCGCCUGAUGAGUUUGUUGCUGAAAAUAAACAGGUGAGAUUCUGCUCAGUAACUGGGUACAGUUCAUUUGACAGUGAUGCUU